UACGUAGGGGGCUAGCGUUGUCCGGAAUCAUUGGGCGUAAAGCGCGUGUAGGCGGCCCGGUAAGUCCGCUGUGAAAGUCGGGGGCUCAACCCUCGAAUGCCGGUGGAUACUGUCGGGCUCGAGUGCGGAAGAGGCGAGUGGAAUUCCUGGUGUAGCGGUGAAAUGCGCAGAUAUCAGGAGGAACACCAAUUGCGAAGGCAGCUCGCUGGGACGUUACUGACGCUGAGACGCGAAAGCGUGGGGAGCAAACAGG
rnacentral:rRNA from 1 species